UAGGGAAUCUUCCGCAAUGGGCGAAAGCCUGACGGAGCAACGCCGCGUGAGUGAUGAAGGUCUUCGGAUCGUAAAACUCUGUUAUUAGGGAAGAACAAAUGUGUAAGUAACUAUGCACGUCUUGACGGUACCUAAUCAGAAAGCCACGGCUAACUACGUGCCAGCAGCCGCGGUAAUACGUAGGUGGCAAGCGUUAUCCGGAAUUAUUGGGCGUAAAGCGCGCGUAGGCGGUUUUUUAAGUCUGAUGUGAAAGCCCACGGCUCAACCGUGGAGGGUCAUUGGAAACUGGAAAACUUGAGUGCAGAAGAGGAAAGUGGAAUUCCAUGUGUAGCGGUGAAAUGCGCAGAGAUAUGGAGGAACACCAGUGGCGAAGGCGACUUUCUGGUCUGUAACUGACGCUGAUUUGCGAAAGCGUGGGGAUCAAACAGG
rnacentral:rRNA from 1 species